GCUCAACCAAGACGGGAGCUAUUCUGGUUGGGCUCUCAACAAAUUAAAUAGACUCCAAACUCCAAGACGCCGCUAGCAGUACAGUGGAAGUCAAAAUGCAUCCGUGAAAACCACUGAAAGAUGAUUUGGAGUUGGGAAUGAUUUCGGAGACCAUCAAAUACCUGAGAACUCGCUGCUACUCUGGGAUUAUCAGAGCGCCAAGUUAAAAUCUGGUUUCAAACAGACGACCGAAAGGGCGGAUACAAGCAAAAAGAAGUGCAUUGGAGAGAAAAUCCAAAUGGACAGCUUUCACCAGCAGAACCUCUUACAGCAGCAGCAACGACAAUCACAACCGGGUCAGGGGGCAACAUAAAUAAA